GAUGUACCCCCUCUGUCCUAAAAUUCUUGUCGUAGAUUUGUCUAGAUACGGAUGUAUCUAACACUAAAAUGUGACUAGAUACAUCUGUAUGUAGAUAAAUCUAAGACAAGAAUUUUGGGACGGAGGGAGUAUAAA
rfam:Triticum aestivum genome assembly, contig: Triticum_aestivum_CS42_TGACv1_scaffold_485799_6AS